UCCUACCCAUGUCCCUGCAGAUCCUGAGGUGACCUUCAAUGCCCACCUCUCUCUCAUCCAGCAGUUGGAGGUGACGCCCACCAAGGAACUCACUGAAACUGGCCCCUUCACCUGCACAGAUUUCAUCCCAAACCAACAGUGGAGGAGGGAGCCCCUGGUACUGCUCAAGGACUCCUCCUUUUCACCUACAACCUCUCCAUCCUUCUCUGCCAAGUCUCUCAAGGCAGUUUGAGGUCAUUUCCCCAUCUGAAAAAUUACUGGUUUAGAUCAAACUUCUCAUUUUGUUCCAGGACUUGAGGAAUGAGAUGGAUUUCUUCCUUGCCAAAAAGAUAUUCAAGCAGAAACUCUCUUGUCAGAAAUGUGUGGGUUUCCUGGCCCAACUGCUGCAUUCGGAUCCAUCCUCUUCUACAGAGUGAUGCAAUUUUUGUCUAUCUCACCAGAAGCAUGCAUUAAGAUACUCCUUGCUUUGGGUUUUUGGUUUUAGUUUGGGUUUUUUUGAUGGCCAGACAGGGUGUUCUCAAAUGUUGCAACUUGCUCUACAGGUGUGUUGUUAUUAGUAGAAAAAGCCCACAAUGAACAACCAAAAAUCUAUUAAUAAGGAGAAAUAAAUACUAUUGUUUCUGCUCUUUGACAA